rnacentral:rRNA from 1 species
GACGAACGCUGGCGGCGUGCUUAACACAUGCAAGUCGAACGGAAAGGCCCUGCUUUUGUGGGGUGCUCGAGUGGCGAACGGGUGAGUAACACGUGAGUAACCUGCCCUUGACUUUGGGAUAACUUCAGGAAACUGGGGCUAAUACCGGAUAGGAGCUCCUGCUGCAUGGUGGGGGUUGGAAAGUUUCGGCGGUUGGGGAUAGACUCGCGGCUUAUCAGCUUGUUGGUGGGGUAGUGGCUUACCAAGGCUUUGACGGGUAGCCGGCCUGAGAGGGUGACCGGCCACAUUGGGACUGAGAUACGGCCCAGACUCCUACGGGAGGCAGCAGUGGGGAAUAUUGCACAAUGGGCGGAAGCCUGAUGCAGCAACGCCGCGUGCGGGAUGACGGCCUUCGGGUUGUAAACCGCUUUCGCCUGUGACGAAGCGUGAGUGACGGUAAUGGGUAAAGAAGCACCGGCUAACUACGUGCCAGCAGCCGCGGUGAUACGUAGGGUGCGAGCGUUGUCCGGAUUUAUUGGGCGUAAAGGGCUCGUAGGUGGUUGAUCGCGUCGGAAGUGUAAUCUUGGGGCUUAACCCUGAGCGUGCUUUCGAUACGGGUUGACUUGAGGAAGGUAGGGGAGAAUGGAAUUCCUGGUGGAGCGGUGGAAUGCGCAGAUAUCAGGAGGAACACCAGUGGCGAAGGCGGUUCUCUGGGCCUUUCCUGACGCUGAGGAGCGAAAGCGUGGGGAGCGAACAGGCUUAGAUACCCUGGUAGUCCACGCUGUAAACGGUGGGUACUAGGUGUGGGGUCCAUUCCACGGGUUCCGUGCCGUAGCUAACGCUUUAAGUACCCCGCCUGGGGAGUACGGCCGCAAGGCUAAAACUCAAAGGAAUUGACGGGGCCCCGCACAAGCGGCGGAGCAUGCGGAUUAAUUCGAUGCAACGCGUAGAACCUUACCUGGGUUUGACAUGGAUCGGGAGCGCUCAGAGAUGGGUGUGCCUCUUUUGGGGUCGGUUCACAGGUGGUGCAUGGCUGUCGUCAGCUCGUGUCGUGAGAUGUUGGGUUAAGUCCCGCAACGAGCGCAACCCUUGUUCACUGUUGCCAGCACGUUAUGGUGGGGACUCAGUGGAGACCGCCGGGGUCAACUCGGAGGAAGGUGGGGAUGACGUCAAGUCAUCAUGCCCCUUAUGUCCAGGGCUUCACGCAUGCUACAAUGGCUGGUACAGAGAGUGGCGAGCCUGUGAGGGUGAGCGAAUCUCGGAAAGCCGGUCUCAGUUCGGAUUGGGGUCCGCAACUCGACCUCAUGAAGUCGGAGUCGCUAGUAAUCGCAGAUCAGCAACGCUGCGGUGAAUACGUUCCCGGGGCU